GGAGAACACCCAAUCCGUUAGAAAGCUGAAAAAAGAAAUGACCGUCGAAGAAAGGCACUUAAUCCGUGCCCAAAAGCUACAACUCAUCGAAUCGGACUUUUAUAAGCAUGCCAGCAUUAAUGAAACGGCGCGGACGCUAGAUCUUGAUCUCGAUGUCGUUGUCGUUGAUCAAAUUUUCAACUUUUGGGUUCUUAAACGAAAGUCCAACCGAGACAGACCAUUGCUACCGCCCAAAACCACUGAAACGGAAAGAUUAAGUCAGCAACAACAGCAAGAUAUGGAACGUAUGAAAUUGUUUGUACAGCUACGACAAGACCUAGAGAGGGUUCGAAAUUUGUGUUACAUGGUCAGCCGAAGAGAGAAAUUAUCACGAUCGUAUUUUCGAUUGCGAGAACAAACCUUCCACAAGCAACAGCGAUUUUGUCUCUGUCUGAUCUACAAAAAACUAUCACCCCAGCAGAACUGACGCCAAUCAUGGCUCCAAUGUCUAUGACCUUGUAUAUUUACGUGGGGAAACGAUCCAAAAAGAAGGCUUUGAACAAGUCAUUCAACUCAUAGCAGGCGUACAGUCGAACAUCCCCGCAAUGAAAAAGGAUAAAAAUGGAAUCGUUGGUCGUCCCAAUCAUUUAAAGGAAGACAACCCAUACAAACGCACGUACAUGAAUGGGGGCGAAAGUCGUUGAUUCCGCUCGCUAUCUUCCAUCAGUGCCGAAUCGGCUGCCUCUGAUACUGAAACAAACAGUAGAUGGAAGAGACCGGUGAGAACACCUUCGCAAACAUCAAUUACCUCGGUCGACAGCGAUUUCGAUGUAGCCAUUACACAGCUUGGUUCCAAAAAAGCCAGUUCGAAAACUAGUGAUAGAGCUGGCAAGUUCAUUUACACCGACAGUGAAGAAGAAGCGGGACCUUUUAGGCUUUUGAUGUUACCUGCUAAAUUUUUGUUUAAUUGUUUGUAUUUUGUAAAAAUAAAUGUAAAUCAAUUACCAAAAA